UACGGAGGGGGCGAGCGUUGUCCGAAUUUAUUGGGCGUAAAGCGCGUGUAGGCGGACCUACAAGCCUUUGGUGAAAUCCUGGAGCUCAACUCCAGAACUGCCUUCGAUACUGGAGAGCUCGAGUCCGGGAGAGGUGAGUGGAACUGCGAGUGUAGAGGUGAAAUUCGUAGAUAUUCGCAAGAACACCAGUGGCGAAGGCGGCUCACUGGCCCGAUACUGACGCUGAGGCACGAAAGCGUGGGGAGCAAACAGGGA
rnacentral:rRNA from 1 species